GGGGAUGUAGCUCAGUUGGUAGAGUGCUUGCCUGUCAAGCUCAAGGCCCUGGGUUCAAUCCCCAGUAUCUGCCA